rnacentral:rRNA from 1 species
UACGUAGGGUGCGAGCGUUGUCCGGAAUUAUUGGGCGUAAAGAGCUCGUAGGCGGUGUGUCACGUCGAUCGUGAAAACUUUCAGCUUAACUGGGAGCUUGCGGUCGAUACGGGCAUCGCUGGAGUUCGGCAGGGGAGACUGGAAUUCAAGGUGUAGCGGUGAAAUGCGCAGAUAUCUUGAGGAACACCGGUGGCGAAGGCGGGUCUCUGGGCCGAUACUGACGCUGAGGAGCGAAAGCGUGGGGAGCGAACAGG